AUGAUAGCUUUGAUGAAGAGUAAGUAGCAUGAUGAAAGUUUUUAGAGAGCUGACGGUUGGUGAAAGUCAGUAGCGGACAUGAUGUGAAUGGACUUCUGAGCUCUGGUUUGAAAAGGAAUUUCCUUAGUAGGAUGCAGCGAUUAGGCCUUAUCGUUACACAAGGCGCCCAUUCGGAAUUUGGAUGGAUUAAGUGAACUGUUUUUGCAGUUAAUCAAGGUGGUACCACGGGUCUCUCGUCCUUGUC
rnacentral:ncRNA from 1 species